rnacentral:lncRNA from 1 species
GAGGCGGAAGGGCAAUGCGAUGAUGCAGAUAAACUCCAAGAUCGAGGUGCGGCAGUCCCAUCCCGAGCCGUCGGCGUCGGCAGUCCCAUCCUAGGGUCUCGGGGGCAGGGCCGGUCCUGAGAUUUCAGGGGCCCGGGGCAAGUUAACACAUAAGGGCCCUAACGCCACAUAAAUAUAUGAGUACUAAUAUUACUAUUUUUUGCAAAAACAAUAGACUCAGUACACUAUAAUCUAUGUUGCAUUGUGAUCUAGAGUGUGAAAAACAAGAUCAUAAACACUGAAGGUAAAAGUUGUUCGCUCUUGUCCAUCGACACUUAUAUUUCGAGUAUUAGGAAAAUUCGGCACACUUUGGUCCCCACUCAAGCUAUUAUCAUCCUUGUUUUUUCACAUGUUGUUUCUAACAAUAACUAAAGCUAAUUAUUCAGAAUUACAGUUGUAUCUAUUCUAAAAAGUGCCAAUACCUCAUUUCUAUGACUCCAUCAAGUCAUUAGCAGAUGACAUCUUGGUAAAUUAUUAAGAGCAGUCUUGUUAAUUACUGGAGCAAGGCAUAGAAUUAACAUAAAACAUAUGAUAGAAGAAACUAAGACUGUUGGUUAAUUAAACUAAAAAAGUGCAAAAGAGAGGCACCUGAUCAGUGAUCACGAGGAUGGCUAGAAAAUUAGAAAAUGCAAGAUCUUGUUGUUGCUUACAGUUCACCAACAAAAAUUUGGGUUCCUCUUUUCUAACUCCAAGCAAAACGAGCAAUCGGAGUGCGUGACACAACGGUGUAGGAGGAUGACCUUCACGCAAGAGCUUGUCUUCACGAACAAAUGAACAAUCAGAAAAGCCUG